GACGGAGUCCUUCACUUCGGGUGGGAGGAACACAGGUGCUGCAUGGCUGUCGUCAGCUCGUGUCGUGAGAUGUUGGGUUAAGUCCCGCAACGAGCGCAACCCUCGCCCUUAGUUGCCAUCAUUUAGUUGGGCACUCUAAGGGGACUGCCGGUGAUAAGCCGGAGGGAGGUGGGGAUGACGUCAAGUCCUCAUGGCCCUUACGGGCUGGGCUACACACGUGCUACAAUGGCGGUGACAGAGGGAUGCAAAGGGGCGACCCUUCGCAAAUCUCAAAAAUCCGUCUCAGUUCGGAUUGGGGUCUGCAACUCGACCCCAUGAAGUUGGAAUCGCUAGUAAUCGCAGAUCAGCACGCUGCGGUGAAUACGUUCCCGGGCCUUGUACACACCGCCCGUCACACCAUGGGAGUUGGCUUUACCUGAAGACGGUGCGCUAACCGCAAGGAGGCAGCCGGCCACGGUAGGGUCAGCGACUGGGGUG
rnacentral:rRNA from 1 species